rnacentral:rRNA from 1 species
UUAUAGGUAAUAAAAUAAAAUAAUAAGAAAUUAAAUGAAAUCAUUAAAUUUAAAAAAUUUGGCGGUAUUUUAAAUAAUUAGAGGAAUUUGUUAAUUAAAUGAUAAUCCACGAAUGGAAUGUCCUAAAUAAGUUUUUAUGUAUUGUUGUAUAAAAAUUAUUUUAAUAGAAAGAUAAUUAAAAAAUUAAAUUUAAUUUGAAUUCAAAUCAAAAUGUAGAAUUAUUAGGUUUAAAUGAAUUACAGUUUAAGUUAAUAUCGAAUUUAUUUUUUUAACUAAAAUAAUAAGGUAGGAUUUAAGAGUAAAUUUAUAAAAAUUUUUAAAUUGAAGAAUAAAUUAAAAUAUG